AGAUAAAAAAAAAAAAAAAAAAAAAAAAAAAAUU
rnacentral:ribozyme from 1 species